UGCCGCGUGAGUGAAGAAGGCUUCGGGUUGUAAAGCUCUUUCGGCAGGAACGAUUGGUCGUGCUAAUACACGGACUGAUGACGGUACCUGAAGAAGAAGCACCGGCUAACUACGUGCCAGCAGCCGCGGUAAUACGUAGGGUGCAGGCGUUAAUCGGAAUUACUGGGCGUAAAGCGUGCGCAGGCGGUUUCUUAAGUCAGAUGUGAAAGCCCCGGGCUUAACCUGGGAACUGCGUUUGAAACUGGGAGACUUGAGUGUGGCAGAGGGGGGUGGAAUUCCACGUGUAGCAGUGAAAUGCGUAGAUAUGUGGAGGAACACCGAUGGCGAAGGCAGCCCCCUGGGCUAACACUGACGCUCAUGCACGAAAGCGUGGGGAGCAAACAGGAUUAGAUACCCUGGUAGUCCACGCCCUAAACUAUGUCAACUGGUUGUCGGGGGAUUAACUCCCUUGGUAACGAAGCUAACGCGUGAAGUUGACCGCCUGGGGAGUACGGGCGCAAGGUUAAAACUCCAAGGAAUUGACGGGGAACCGCACAAGCGGUGGCUUAUGUGGAUUAAUUCGAUGCCACGGGAAAAACCUUAACUACC
rnacentral:rRNA from 1 species